rnacentral:rRNA from 1 species
AGUGAACGCUGGCGGCAGGCCUAACACAUGCAAGUCGAACGGCAGCACAGUAAGAGCUUGCUCUUACGGGUGGCGAGUGGCGGACGGGUGAGGAAUACAUCGGAAUCUACUUUUUCGUGGGGGAUAACGUAGGGAAACUUACGCUAAUACCGCAUACGACCUACGGGUGAAAGCAGGGGAUCUUCGGACCUUGCGCGAUUGAAUGAGCCGAUGUCGGAUUAGCUAGUUGGCGGGAUAAAGGCCCACCAAGGCGACGAUCCGUAGCUGGUCUGAGAGGAUGAUCAGCCACACUGGAACUGAGACACGGUCCAGACUCCUACGGGAGGCAGCAGUGGGGAAUAUUGGACAAUGGGCGCAAGCCUGAUCCAGCCAUACCGCGUGGGUGAAGAAGGCCUUCGGGUUGUAAAGCCCUUUUGUUGGGAAAGAAAAGCAGCAGGUUAAUACCCCGCUGUUCUGACGGUACCCAAAGAAUAAGCACCGGCUAACUUCGUG